AUGUAGGGUUAGUCGGGUCCUAAGCUGAGUCCGAAAGGGGUAAGCGAUGGCAAAUCGGUUAAUAUUCCGAUACCGACCAUAGAGCGCGAUGGGGGGACGCAUAGGGCUAGCCGAGGUCACUGAUGGAAUAGUGGCUCGAAGGGAGUAGGUUGAGAUACAGGCAAAUCCGUAUCUCUAUAUCCGAGACCCGACAGGCUCCCUGAACUCUUCGGAGGGAUGGGAGAAUCGGUGAUGCCGUCGUGCCGAGAAAAGCCUCUAAGUUUAUCUAUGGUUGCCCGUACCGUAAACCGACACAGGUGGGUGAGAUGAGUAUUCUAAGGCGCGUGGAAGAACUCUGGUCAAGGAACUCUGCAAACUAGCACCGUACCUUCGGAAUAAGGUGUGCCUCCUUGGGUAUUAGGCCUUGCGCCGAAAGCCCGAGAGGUUGCAACAAAGAGUCCCUCCCGACUGUUUAUCAAAAACACAGCACUAUGCUAACUCGUAAGAGGAUGUAUAUGGUGUGACGCCUGCCCGGUGCUCGAAGGUUAAAUGAUGGGGUUAGCCGCAAGGCGAAGCUCUUGAUUGAAGCCCGAGUAAACGGCGGCCGUAACUAUAACGGUCCUAAGGUAGCGAAAUUCCUUGUCGGUUAAAUACCGACCUGCAUGAAUGGCGUAACGAGAUGGGAGCUGUCUCGACCAGAGAUCCAGUGAAAUUGUAGUGGAGGUGAAAAUUCCUCCUACCCGCGGCAAGACGGAAAGACCCCGUGGACCUUUACUACAGCUUGACACUGCAAUCGGGAUACAGAUGUGCAGGAUAGGUGGGAGGCUUUGAAGCCGGGACGCUAGUUCCGGUGGAGCCGUCGUUGAGAUACCACUCUUCUGUAUUCUGCUUGCUAACUUGCGUCAGUUAUCCUGGCGGAGGACAAUGUCUGGUGGGUAGUUUGACUGGGGCGGUCGCCUCCUAAAAAGUAACGGAGGCUUACAAAGGUUGGCUCAUAUGGGUUGGAAAUCCAUAGUAGAGUAUAAAGGCAUAAGCCAGCCUGACUGAGAGACAUACAAGUCGAUCAGAGACGAAAGUCGGUCUUAGUGAUCCGGUGGUUCUGAGUGGAAGGACCAUCGCUCAAAGGAUAAAAGGUACCCCGGGGAUAACAGGCUGAUCUCCCCCAAGAGCUCACAUCGACGGGGAGGUUUGGC
rnacentral:rRNA from 1 species